rnacentral:tRNA from 1 species
UCCCUGGUGGCUCAGAUGGUAAAGAAUCUGCUUGCAAUGUAGGAGACCCAGGUUCAAUCCCUGGCUUGGGAA